GGAGGGUGCAAACGUUAAUCGGAAUUACUGGGCGUAAAGCGCGCGUAGGCGGUUUGAUAAGUGGGAUGUGAAAGCCCAGGGCUUAACCUUGGAACUGCAUUCCGAACUGUCAGGCUAGAGUAUGGUAGAGGGAGGUAGAAUUUCCUGUGUAGCGGUGAAAUGCGUAGAUAUAGGAAGGAAUACCGAUGGCGAAGGCAGCCUCCUGGACCAAUACUGACGCUGAGGUGCGAAAGCGUGGGGAGCAAACAGGGAUUAGAUACCCUGGUAGUCCACGCCGUAAACGAUGAGAACUAGCCCGUUGGGACCCCUUGAGGUUUUGGUGGCGCAGCUAACGCGAUAAGUUCUCCGCCUGGGGGAGUACGGCCCGCAAGGUUA
rnacentral:rRNA from 1 species